rnacentral:tRNA from 2 species
GGAAAUAACAAACUUUUUAGAAGUGUUGCUUUGAAGAGGCAAAAAAAAAGCAUAAAUAACGCUUUCUAUUCCAU